rnacentral:rRNA from 1 species
AGUGAACGCUGGCGGUAGGCCUAACACAUGCAAGUCGAACGGCAGCACAGUAAGAGCUUGCUCUUACGGGUGGCGAGUGGCGGACGGGUGAGGAAUACAUCGGAAUCUACUUUUUCGUGGGGGAUAACGUAGGGAAACUUACGCUAAUACCGCAUACGACCUACGGGUGAAAGCAGGGGAUCUUCGGACCUUGCGCGAUUGAAUGAGCCGAUGUCGGAUUAGCUAGUUGGCGGGGUAAAGGCCCACCAAGGCGACGAUCCGUAGCUGGUCUGAGAGGAUGGUCAGGCACACUGGAACUGGGACACGGUCCAGACUCCUAAGGGAGGCAGCAGUGGGGAAUAUUGGACCAUGGGCGCAAGCCUGAUCCAGCCAUACCGCGUGGGUGAAGAAGGCCUUCGGGUUGUAAAGCCCUUUUGUUGGGAAAGAAAAGCAGCAGGUUAAUACCCCGCUGUUCUGACGGUACCCAAAGAAUAAGCACCGGCUAACUUCGUG